rnacentral:tRNA from 1 species
UUUCAUCAGGUGUAUUUGCACAGAAAACUUUGAAUUUUCAGGAGGGUAUCCGAUGAGAU